AUUGAACGCUGGCGGCAUGAUUUACACAUGCAAGUCGAACGGUAACAGGCCGCAAGGUGCUGACGAGUGGCGAACGGGUGAGUAAUGCAUCGGAACGUGCCCAGUCGUGGGGGAUAACUACUCGAAAGAGUAGCUAAUACCGCAUACGAUCUAUGGAUGAAAGCGGGGGACCGUAAGGCCUCGCGCGAUUGGAGCGGCCGAUGUCAGAUUAGGUAGUUGGUGGGGUAAAGGCUCACCAAGCCAACGAUCUGUAGCUGGUCUGAGAGGACGACCAGCCACACUGGGACUGAGACACGGCCCAGACUCCUACGGGAGGCAGCAGUGGGGAAUUGUGGACAAUGGGCGCAAGCCUGAUCCAGCAAUGCCGCGUGCAGGAAGAAGGCCUUCGGGUUGUAAACUGCUUUUGUACGGAACGAAACGGCUCUGGUUAAUACCCGGGGCUAAUGACGGUACCGUAAGAAUAAGCACCGGCUAACUACGUG
rnacentral:rRNA from 1 species